UGCAAGUCGAGCGGACAGAUGGGAGCUUGCUCCCUGAAGUCAGCGGCGGACGGGUGAGUAACACGUGGGCAACCUGCCUGUAAGACUGGGAUAACUUCGGGAAACCGGAGCUAAUACCGGAUAACACCGAGGACCUCAUGGUCCUUGGUUGAAAGAUGGCUUCGGCUAUCACUUACAGAUGGGCCCGCGGCGCAUUAGCUAGUUGGUGAGGUAACGGCUCACCAAGGCGACGAUGCGUAGCCGACCUGAGAGGGUGAUCGGCCACACUGGGACUGAGACACGGCCCAGACUCCUACGGGAGGCAGCAGUAGGGAAUCUUCCGCAAUGGACGAAAGUCUGACGGAGCAACGCCGCGUGAGCGAUGAAGGCCUUCGGGUCGUAAAGCUCUGUUGUUAGGGAAGAACAAGUACCGUUCGAAUAGGGCGGUACCUUGACGGUACCUAACCAGAAAGCCACGGCUAACUACGUGCCAGCAGCCGCGGUAAUACGUAGGUGGCAAGCGUUGUCCGGAAUUAUUGGGCGUAAAGCGCGCGCAGGCGGUUCCUUAAGUCUGAUGUGAAAGCCCACGGCUCAACCGUGGAGGGUCAUUGGAAACUGGGGAACUUGAGUGCAGAAGAGGAAAGCGGAAUUCCACGUGUAGCGGUGAAAUGCGUAGAGAUGUGGAGGAACACCAGUGGCGAAAGCGGCUUUCUGGUCUGUAACUGACGCUGAGGCGCG
rnacentral:rRNA from 1 species